ensembl:Y_RNA Y_RNA Y RNA
GGCUGGUCUGAGUGCAGUGGUGUUUACCAUCCGUUGAUCACGGCCAUCUACAUAUUUCUUUGUUCCUUCUUCCCUCCCACUGCUACACUCAGCUAGCCUAAA